CGGCGCGCUGAAAUCGGACCAACUGACUCUUAAUCAGCGGGUCCCAGGUUCGAGCCCUGGUGCGCCCACCA
rnacentral:tRNA from 1 species